rnacentral:lncRNA from 1 species
UUCAGAAAUAUAUCAGUGUCCUUAUUCUCCUGUAAAAGAAUACAAGCUGAAACGCUUUCAGGUGACAGUAUUGCUCAACAUAAAAACUCUGCCCUCUGGUACAUUGGCACUAUUAUUGUUCUCAUUGUACAGAUGUGGACCCUGAUGUGCAGAAACUUAAGUCAAUUGCCCAAGGUCGCAUUGCUGGUAUCUCCAUUUGUUAUGCUUGGAAAGUGAGAAAGCAUUCAACUGGCAAAGGAAGUGAACAAAAACAAGAUCAAGAAUAAACAUGACUUAAUUAAAAUCAUAAUGAGGUAUCAUCUUACCCCAGUCAGAAUGUCUCUUAUUAAAAAAAAAAAA